rnacentral:rRNA from 1 species
GCUGGCGGCACGCCUUAUACAUGCAAGUCGAACGAAGUAGCAAUACUUAGUGGCAGACGGGUGAGUAACAUGUAGGUAUCUUCCCUUUGGUGAGGAAUAACACGAGGAAACUUGUGCUAAUACCUCAUAAGUCUUUACGGAGAAAGCUUUAUGCGCCGAAGGAUGAGCCUGCACUUGAUUAGUUUGUUGGUGGGGUAAUGGCCUACCAAGACUUUGAUCUAUAGCUGAUCUGAGAGGAUGAUCAGCCACAUUGGGACUGAGACACGGCCCAAACUCCUACGGGAGGCAGCAGUAGGGAAUAUUGCACAAUGGAGGAAACUCUGAUGCAGCGAUGCCGCGUGAGUGAAGAAGGCCUUUGGGUUGUAAAGCUCUUUCGUCGGGGAAGAAAAUGACUGUACCCGAAUAAGAAGGUCCGGCUAACUUCGUGCCAGCAGCCGCGGUAAUACGAAGGGACCUAGCGUAGUUCGGAAUUACUGGGCUUAAAGAGUUCGUAGGUGGUUAAAAAAGUUGGUGGUGAAAUCCCAGAGCUUAACUCUGGAACUGCCAUCAAAACUUUUUAGCUAGAGUAUGACAGAGGAAAGCAGAAUUUCUAGUGUAGAGGUGAAAUUCGUAGAUAUUAGAAAGAAUACCAAUUGCGAAGGCAGCUUUCUGGAUCAUUACUGACGCUGAGGAACGAAAGCAUGGGUAGCGAAGAGGAUUAGAUACCCUCGUAGUCCAUGCCGUAAACGAUGUGUGUUAGACGUUGGAAAUUUAUUUUCAGUGUCGCAGCGAAAGCGUUAAACACACCGCCUGGGGAGUACGAC